rnacentral:tRNA from 1 species
UGGGAUGUAGCUCAGUGGUAAAGCACUUGCCUAGCAAGCACAACGUCCUGGGUUCGAUCCCCAGUACCAA